GAUGAACGCUGGCGGCGUGCCUAAUACAUGCAAGUCGAGCGAACCACUUCGGUGGUGAGCGGCGAACGGGUGAGUAACACGUAGGUUAUCUGCCCAUCAGACGGGGACAACGAUUGGAAACGAUCGCUAAUACCGGAUAGGACGAAAGUUUAAAGGUGCUUCGGCACCACUGAUGGAUGAGCCUGCGGCGCAUUAGCUAGUUGGCAGGGUAAAGGCCUACCAAGGCGACGGUGCGUAGCCGACCUGAGAGGGUGAACGGCCACACUGGGACUGAGAAACGGCCCAGACUCCUACGGGAGGCAGAAGUAGGGAAUCUUCGGCAAUGGGCGAAAGCCUGACCGAGCAACGCCGCGUGAAUGAUGAAGGCCUUCGGGUUGUAAAAUUCUGUUAUAAGGGAAGAAUGGCUCUAGUAGGAAAUGGCUAGAGUGUGACGGUACCUUAUGAGAAAGCCACGGCUAACUACGUGCCAGCAGCCGCCGUAAGAC
rnacentral:rRNA from 1 species